CCUACGGGUGGCAGCAGUGGGGGAUAUUGCACAAUGGGGGAAACCCUGAUGCAGCGACGCCGCGUGAGUGAAGAAGUAUUUCGGUAUGUAAAGCUCUAUCAGCAGGGAAGAAAAUGACGGUACCUGACCAAGAAGCCCCGGCUAACUACGUGCCAGCAGCCGCGGUAAUACGUAGGGGGCAAGCGUUAUCCGGAUUUACUGGGUGUAAAGGGAGCGUAGACGGUAGUGCAAGUCUGGAGUGAAAGCCUGGGGCUCAACCCCGGGACUGCUUUGGAAACUGUGUAGCUGGAGUACAGGAGAGGUAGGUGGAAUUCCUGGUGUAGCGGUGAAAUGCGUAGAGAUCAGGAGGAACACCAGUGGCGAAGGCGGCCUGCUGGACUGUAACUGACGUUGAGGCUCGAAAGCGUGGGGAGCAAACAGGAUUAGAUACCCCAGUAGUC
rnacentral:rRNA from 1 species